UACAGAGGUCUCAAGCGUUGUUCGGAUCAUUGGGCGUAAAGGGUGCGUAGGCGGCGCGGUAAGUCGGGUGUGAAAUCUCGGAGCUUAACUCCGAAACUGCAUUCGAUACUGCCGUUGCUUGAGGACUGGAGAGGAGACUGGGAUUUACGGUGUAGCGGUGAAAUGCGUAGAUAUCGUAAGGGAAGACCAGUGGCGAAGGCGGGUCUCUGGACAGUUCCUGACGCUGAGGCACGAAGGUCAGGGGAGCAAACGGG
rnacentral:rRNA from 1 species